GUCUCUUUCUCCUUCCCUUCAUUCAUUGGAUGCUUUCAGCUGCUUUCUCUUCUUGGACAAGCUCCUUGCUAGUACGGUUGCUAUUAUACUUCUCAUAAGAUCCAUCAUAAUCAUUUGCUUUAGCUCUAGCACCUGGACUUGUGGUUUUAUAGGAAUUGAAACUACCUCUUUGCAUCAUCUCCGUCUUUGAGGCUAUAUUACUAGCCUUGAAUAAGGUCUGCAAUACUUAAACUCCAAUCCAGUCCUUGACAGAUGGCUUUAGUUCCUCCAAAUACCUUACAAUCUGCAUUCAUGAAGGUUGUUUCUUUCAGCCAAUCUCAUAAAUUCAGCUGUGUAUUCAUGAACCAUUCGGCUACCUUGUUGGCAUCUUUAGUAUUGUUGGAAGAGAAUUUACUCAUAAUCUGGAGGUAAAAACUCUUAAUGUAGCAAAUACUUCAUCUGA
rnacentral:misc_RNA from 1 species